ACCUAUAGGAAACUCUAACAGGAUCUUCACCUUCUAGGACCUGACCCUAUAGGAACUGACCCCAUAAAGGGUCCUAUAGAAACCUAUGGGCAGCCCUAUAGGACUUUGACCUUCCAGGACCCGACGCUAUAGAAGCUGAUCUUAUAAGAUCUGAUCUUACAGGACCUGACCCCAUAAAAGGACCCAUGGGAACCUAUAGGAAACUCUAACAGGGUCUUCACCUUCUAGGACCUGAUCUUACAGGACCUGACCCCAUAAAGGGACCCAUAGGAACCUUGGUGGCCCUAUAGGAUCUCGACCUUCCAGGACCCGACGCUGUAGAAACUGAUCUUAUAGGAUCUGAUCUUACAGGACCUGACCCCAUAAAGGGACCCAUGGGAACCCAUAGGCGGCCCUAUAGGACCUUCACCUUCUAGGACCUGACCCCAUAGCACCUAAUCUUACAGGACCUGAUCUUAUAAGAUCUGAUCUUAUAGGAUCUAAUCUUACAGGACCCGACCCCACAGAGGAACCCAUGGGCGACCCUACAGGACCUCAACCUCCCAGACCUCGACCCUAUAGGACCCCAACCCUAUAGGAUCCCAACCCUACAGGACCCAACUCACAGAACCUCAACCUUCCAGGACCUAACCCUAUAAAACCCGACGCUAUAGGACUUGAUCCUACAAGAUCCAACCCUACAAGAGCCGACCCUAUAGCACCCUGACCCCACACAGGGACCUAUAGAAACCCGGGAGAGACCCUAUAGGACCCCGACCCCGUAAGACCCCGGCCCUAUAGGACCCUGACCCCGUAAGACCCCAAUCCUAUAGGGCCCUGACCCCAUAUAGGAACAGGAAUGGACAUCCAUGAGGUGAGACAGCAGGCUUCGUUCUAUGGGGUCAGCACCCAUGGGUGCCACUUCUCUAUAGGGUCAGCACCCCUCGGUGCCCUAAUUCUAUAGGGUCAGCAUCCUUGGGUGCUCCUGGAUAUGGGAUCAGCACCCCUGGGUGCUCCUUUCCUAUAGGCUCAGCACCCCUGGGUGCCCCUGGAUAUGGGAUCAGCACCCCUGGGUGCUCCUUUCCUAUAGGCUCAGCACCCCUGGGUGCCCCUGGAUAUGGGAUCAGCACCCCUGGGUGCCCUGAUUCUAUAGGGUCAGCACCCCUGGGUGCUCCUUUUCUAUAGGCUCAGCACCCCUGGGUGCCCCUGGAUAUGGGAUUAGCACCCCUGGGUGCUCCUG
rnacentral:lncRNA from 1 species